rnacentral:ncRNA from 2 species
AAACCAUCCAGAGCGACUGAGAGACCUGGCUCCACGACGUCGCAGCAACCGGCACGGAUUCUUCCGCCCCCGGUGCUAACGCCAGGAACGAUGGAAG